CCUGCUGCCGCGGCUGCCGCCUCUUACGUCUUUCCCUUUGCGACAAGUCGUAGCCGCUGCAGCAGAAAUAAAGGACUCGGCCGCCACCACAGCCUCUGCCGAGCAGGGUCGGGUCGCUGGAGCCGCGCCCCACCUCCGCCACUCCACUGCCGCCCACGAUGCACAGGGUGUGGUGCAGCUGCUGUGGUAGAAGGGGAGAAUUUGUGUUCUCAGGCCUUCCAAACUGAAGCAGCUUCAAAGGAUACCCCAAAUCACUUGUCCCAAGGCUGUGAUAAACAACAAACAGGAAACGUGCUUAUCCUGCUGAAGAUGGAGAUCAAAAGCAAACUCUUACAGUGAGCAAAAUUGGCCUGCUUUGCUGCCCACAGGAGGACAGCUGCUUUCUGCCGUGAAACAGAGAAACAAGGAGAAUGGGGUUUGCAGAAAGGAAAGUGUAGCAAAUGCAAAACAAAGCAGAGCUGCUUACAAGGCCCCUGGACAUGGUGGUAUAUACCUGUCAUCCCGCUGCUAGAGAAGCAGGACCAGGAGGAUUUGCAAAUACAAGGUUUUCACUACGUAGCUCAGGCGGGCCUCACAUUUGUGGCAAUCCACCUGCUGCCUCCCAAGUGUCUGGAUUACUAGUAUGUGGCAUUAUGAUGAUGUUGAUUACCCACAUCCAGCCAUUUCUGAAGCUUGACACAUCCGUGGAAUUUUCAGCUAGAUAAGUCAUCAGUGUCCCUUUUUAUCUCAUGGUUUUGGUUUGCAAACAAAAAGCAUCUACCCAUAAAUCUGCAGGACUGCAAAAGGCUGAUGAAUAUUUCUCGAGGAACCACCUGCGGGCAGUAAUUCACAGUGGCUGCCACAUACAGGUCAGGAGGGGCACCAGCCCCAUCAUCCUGGGUCUGGGGGCAUUUUGAAAGAAAUGGAACCAACAUAGCCAAAGAGACCUGAAGAGAAACAGUAGAGGACAGCAGAAAGGAGAAGUCAGCCUUGACAGGGAAUUCCCAUGACCUACCCGGGCGUUUUCUGAAGAAAAAUCCGCAGACCCCAUCUGAACCCUGCUGCAGGUCACCUGUGUAAUUAGACACCAGGAGCUGCUCUGUGUACCAGUCUGUCUCUCAUUCUGCACCUCUGGACCACAGGAUCGGAAAUCAUAUCAAACUAUGAGGACAGAAUGAGGCUGCUUUCCUAGAUGGCAUGAUUGUGGCUUUUAUUUUGCUACCCCUGACACUGCUCCAACUGCGGUGCUGGAUGCUUGGCUGGUCACUAGGAGUGGAUGCUAGCCUUUCACUGAGAAUUCUCCUGAACACAGGGAUUUUCAGCUGGCAAUGUUCCUGGAGAGCCACUUACAUGGGAAAACCAUGCUGGACCACUGCUCUCUGUUUUCCAAGAGAAAACACUAAAACCGGGUAAUAAAAGUUAAUAGAACCUAAAAAUACAGGCACUUGAUGUAGUGGUCAACUAGGUUUGCAAAAUGGCUAUGAAGGGUUGGUGAAAUGAAAGAAGACAUCCACACACAUUUUUAAAAGGUAGAGCCUCUUUGUUAAUAGCAUUUAAAAGACAAAGAGGAAGGUGUUGCUGUCUCUGUGGAUAGAAGCUAAAAUGAUUUUGAGCAGUCAUUCUAGAACCUAAGGUAAUCCAAGGCGAAUGGUAUAAAUGGGUUCCAGAAUCCAACAUACGCUCUGCAUCUCUCAGGAGGCUACUGGCCAAGGAAGCUCUCUCUUUCUCCUGUAAUACCUGGGGUUUUGUGCCUCAAAUGACAAAGACUUGGUUACAGUGGUUCUCUUUCCAAUAUUUUUAUAACUAAACAAAAUGAUCAUAAAGAUAAUUCCAGAAGCUCAAUGGGCAAGAAAAUAGGGAAAUGUUGUGUAACACGUUCCAUACCCACCAACCAACAGCACAGAGUGAGUGGUGAGUGCUUCUGCUGAGUGCGCCCAGCAGGAAGCCAAACUCUUAAAAAUAUUACUGUGGGAACUCAUCCACCUUAUCACCAGACCCAGCAACCUGCAAACCUGACUCUCCCUCAAAGUCAAAAUGACAAUGAAAGGACUUGUAUACCGGCCACAAAAUAGGUACUCUCAAAAUAUCUGCAACCAGAUGGACUGCGUUUAAUAUGCACACAGCCUGUAAAAUAGUCAUCAUUAUUCUCAGAUGGUAACUGGAUGUGUGUCUUCAAGAACACGUCCAGCUAGUCUGCAGAAGGGACACUGGAAACCCAUGUAGCAGACAGUCACACGGAUGCUUUUGUGCUGUCCCAUCCAGAGAUGCAGGGUAAUGCAAGGCUCUGCUAUUCAGAAGAUUACAGCGUGAAAGCUUCAGUGGGGAAAAUGCUCCAUAAAGAAGGCCCAGUACAAAGGGUUUUUAUGUUCUGUUUCAUUUGAGAGCUUCUUAUUGUAAUUCCGUAAAUGGUUAUCUCCUCCUCAGACUUCUAUUUCUAGCAUUUGUUCUACUGCCAUAAUGAGGAUAUCCAGCUGAAGAGCCCGGAGAAGCAGGGCUUUUCAUGAUGGAAUGUGGUCAAAGAAAGGAGAAAGAAUGUGGAGUAAAGGGGAACUACAGGAACAAGAGGAGAAACAGGCAGACAGACAGGAGGAUGGGCCCCACAUGCAGGAGAGAUCACGCAGGCCACACCAGUGCUUUUCUUCCAAGGGCUGAGUAGGAGAGAGGAAUCACAGGCCCCGUGCUUAUCAUUCUAGGAAGAAUGCCAGCUGUCCCAGGAAUGUCCCACCUGCUCUGCAGGCCUGCCUCAGACUCCAAAGAGAGGAACCGGGAAGAGGCUAAAAAGAGCUGACAAGAAAACAGAUUAAAAGUAUCAGGGCGAAUCUGCUCCGGGAUGCUGGUGGAAAUGCCAUGACAAACCGACUUAGUCCCAUUUUACACAUCUGCCAAAGUGAAAAAAUUCUCUCGUGGCCUAAGAAACAUGGCUUAGAUUGACAAAUGAAGGCAUGUUGCGUUUAAGAGAGUCUCAAGCUGGGAAGCUGAGUAUUUGCUGUUUUUAACACACAUGCAAAAAUAAAAACGUGGCACAGCUGAAAAAUACUUUCAAGUCGCACUGAUGUGUUCAGAGAUAGCGUCCUUACAAUAUGCUGGCACCAAGAGGACUUUAUGUUUCCGUGCUUAUUCUAGUGGUUUCAGAAGAAAGGGAAGUCUGCCCUAAAGCCCUUUACAUAUAAACACAUACGGCAAAAUCAUAUAAUUUUAUUUUUACAAUUAAGCCCUGCUGUUUCAAGUUCAGGAUUUACCGCGGUCUCAGGGCCUGUUUAUUGCUGAAAGGUUAUUAGCUUUCUUUUCAUAAAGAUUCAGUCCUAAUUCUAAUGUGCAUGUGCAUAUACGAGCCGUGAAUCAAGACCCAUAACUCUCACCUAAUAGCUCUAUAGUGUCUGCUGGAAGUGCACUCUAGGUAAGUACAUUUUACUGCUCUGCCGGAGCAAUUAGCUAAAGCUGUGCACACUCCCGCCAGCGCCGGUAAUGAGGAGCCACAGCUAGGAGGCGGAGAGGGGAGAGUGAAAAGGGUGCCUGAGUCAAUAGUGUGGCUCGGGAAACCAAGAAACAUCACUGCUGUGGACACGGGUAUCUAUCAUUUGGAAACCAGUCUACAUAGAGUGGUAGGGUCAACCAAACAGGACGCACUCUUCCUCCUCAAUGGGACAAACAUUGCAUACUCCUGGGCCCAGGACACAGGACACAGGACACAGCUGUUAAACAGUUGGGAUGGUGGAGAGGUCUUAAUCCGGCAAAAGCGAGCCGGUAGCACUUUGAGCUCUGCUCUCCCCACUCCGGUUCUCUUCCUCCCUCUGGGGUGUUCAUACGCGUGGGAGCCAUGCAGUCGCCAAUGCACACGUACAGCUAUGUAUGUCUCUUGUCAUCCUGCUGCACAUGGAUUCAUAGCCAUGUAUCCUUCAGCAUGUUAAUGCAGGCUAUCUCUGUGCAUUUCACAUUCAAGAAUUUAAAAGUGAGAUUUCCAAAUGAAUAAAUACGCAACUGUGUCUAACACGGGACCUGCAGAUAAUGGUGAAAAAAAAAAACAGGCUACUUUUUUCCAUUGGUGUUGCUAUAACAAAACAUGAGAGACUGGUUUAACUAAUAAACACCUAAGAUUCGAUUAUUACCGUUCUGGAGGCUGAGAGGCCCAUAGUAACGUGAAGAUCUUCAUUCUGAGUCCUCAUCUAUGGGGGCAGGGACAAAUGUGUCUGCACUUGGUCAUAGGGCAUAAGGGGGAACAGCUCUCUCACAGCGGUUUUCCAUGGGCACUCACACAACUCCUGAACACUCCACGUCCCUCCUCAAUAGUGCAUUGUCUCAGCACUGGAUUUGGGGACACACUCAGCCCCAACACAGCACAGGCUCUGUAUGGCAGCCUGGCCCAGGGAGGCUGAGGUACAGCAUGUUGUGGGAGGGCAGGGAGUGAGCUCAGUCUCAGCAAGCCAGGUAGAAAUGAAGGAGUGUCUUAGCUUGGUACAUUUACUGUGUAAGUGUGUGUGUGUGUGUGUGUGUGUGUGUGUGUGUGUGUGUGUGUGUGUGUGACUGUUACAAACAGAAGACAAUAGAUAAAGUACAAAAGACUGGGAUAAAUAAUUGAAAGUUAAUGAACAUCAGUCAUUUGUCCACAGUAUAGCUGGCAAAAGUUGUUUCUCAUCCUGUGCGUUCUCUUUCCUCUGUUGGUUGUUUCUUGGUGGUACAGAUACUUUUUAAUUUCACGUAAUUGCAUUUGUUGAUUCUUGAUGUUAUUUCUUGUGCAAUUGGGGUUUCACUCAGAAAGUCUCAGCCUAGUCCUAUGUCUUUGACAGCUGUACCAUUUUCUCUUCCAGAAAAUACUCUGCAGAUCUUUUUGUCUCUAGAAAUAAUGAAAGGCUGUACUUGUCUAAGAUGGUGAGUAGAAGCGCUUACAAGGUGACAGAAAAUAACAACAUGUAAGUCUGUAGGAGUUUCAUGGUUCACUCUUCUGUUCACUGGGAAAGAAUAGUGAGUCAGACAGAACACUGCAUAGAUGGCACGAAUAAACUGCCCCACUACUCAGAGAGAUAAGUAGCUAAUUAGUCAAAAGCAGACAUAAUCUAAUGUGGACAACCAGAGUUACAGAGAAGCCAGUUCAUAAAGCCAUGAAUAUUACUCUAUAGAACUGUAAGCAGCAUCCUAUAAAAGGAGAAAGGAACAGAAGAGAGGAACUAAAAUAAGCCAAGAGUUAAGAUAACAGAGAAGGUUUUCUUCUGGGGCUUAUAACACUGGAGUCAGUUGUUAGAACGUAGAGAUUAACAGCUAAAACAAUCACAUGGAGAAUAAGUGAUAUCUCUUCUCUACACUUCUACAUACAGUGACCCGCUGUAUUUUAUCUGCCUAACAACCUUGUAAAAUAGGGGCCGUCAUAACUGCCACUGCACAGAUAAGGCAAAGGAAGCAUGCAGAGGUGCUGUGACGUGUGCACACGCAUGUACUUUUAUUGUCUGGGGAGGGGUCAAAAAAAGAUUUCUGUACUGUUCUAGCCCAGUCCAGGGAGGAGAGUUAGCUACAGGCCAGGUUACUUAGUUAAAGGAACAAGUGUGUAUCCCAAAGUAAAGUCAACUGAGUGAGACAAUGAGUGAGGUAGCAAAAAAAUGCUAAAUGAGAUACAUGAUUUUGUAUUUCUAAAUUCCCCCAGUAACUAGUUACAAUAAGAAUAUUAAGAGCUACCAUUCAUUGACUAGGUAUAACCAGGUUUUACACUGGCAAGAGGGGGAGAGAGAGAGAGAGAUCCACACAACUCAAUAAAUACCUAAUCCAGCAUUAAAAGGCCAGAUAAAGAAAAAAAAUAAAACUAGUCAUCAAUGAUCAAGCAAGUUACAUUUAAACGACAUACACCUAUUAUCUACUAAGUUUACAGCAAAUAAAUGCAUUUUGUCUAGUAUUAAGGCAGUCAUGGAAACUAGUGUACUCAUAGUUUAUUAAUUAUACAUCCCUGGGCAUAUUAUUGCCUUCAGCAUUCAGUAUCUUCAAAUUCAAUCUUUUGAUUUAUUUUUGUAUAACAAUAACAAUAGGACUAUUGUAAAAAUUAUUGUGAAAUUUAAAUGUGCUAAUUUGUAAAACAAAAUCAUUCAUGACUUUCACAACAGUGAGCAUUUACAUGCAAGACAAACUCUGUGUUUACCAUGAUGCACUGUUAAAGAUUAGAAAUUUGUAAUAGAAAAUAAAAUUUGUAUCAAAAGUUAUAGAGAGGUCAUUAACAUAUAUGCAUCCCUGGAAUUCUAUUCUAAGGAUAUACAAAAUAUUUUGAAUAAAUACACAAAUGCAAACACAUAACUGCUCAUUGUAACACUGUAACAAUAUUUAUAACAGCAAAGAAAGACCCUAUACUAUUGAGAUUACUAAGAAAAAAAUUGCAUUUUCCUCAUUAGAAAGGUACAAUAAAAGUAACUGGCCAUGAUUUUAAAAUCUUGAUCUUGUUUAAAAAUAUCUUGGAAAAAAUGUUAGCAAAUUUUGCUUAUUUAUACUUAUAUUUUUAUUUGACUUUGCAUACACUACAACAGAAGGUUACUUCGAAUAGCAGAUUAGAAGAUGUCUAAAAUUACAGUAGUGGUUGCUUUUGAUUGGUAGAAAUGUGUCUGUGUCCCCUGUAAAAAGGGUUCCCAUGCCCGCACAGUGGCGAUGUUGAAACACACAGAGUGAUGUUUUCUCUAUUAUUUUCUCCAUCUCUCUCACCCUUAGACUCACUUCACUCUUCUUAGCAGUGAGAAAUCAAUGAAGAAUAUUUUCCUGAAAGGGCUGGGAAAUAUUGCUGUUUUAAUGUUUAUUUGUGUACUGAAUUCUGAGUUUUUUAUAAUAAUAAACUUUUUCUUUGGCAAUAGUUCUCAAUGUCAGUGAUUCAUAAAUAUUACAAGUAACAUAAAUAAUUUGCAGGUGCUCUUUGAGAACAGUAUAUCACCCUACGUAGAAGCCACCUGUUUAAAAGCUAAUAAAUAUGAAGGGAGAAAGGAACAAUGAAACACUUGAAUGAUUAUUCACUUAUUCUCUUUGAGUACAAUGACAACUGGGCUUUUCAUAAAAGACAUUAAUAGUAAAGAGGGAAAAAAAGUGCUCUAAAGGAUACAACUGCAAGUGUGUUUAGGGGUGUUAAAUAGCUGACCAUAUUAAUGUUUUUGGUUGGAUCAUUGAACACAACUGUUUGCAGCCUCUCUGUUUGAAUGCUCACUUUGUAUGCUUUGAUACUGUGUCUAAGAUGAUAUUGUGUAAUCUAUUAACUGGUGAUUUCUUGCUUUUUUUUUUUUUUUUUUUUUUGGUAGUUCUGUGUUACUUGUACCCUUACACCGCUUUGUUUUGUUUUGUUUUUUCUCUUUUUCCUUUUAAAUAAAAAUUUUUUAAAAAGACA